UACAGAGGUCUCAAGCGUUGUUCGGAUUCAUUGGCGUAAAGGGUGUGUAGGUGGCGCCGUAAGUCGGGUGUGAAAUUUCGGAGCUUAACUCCGAACUGCAUUCGAUACUGCGGUGCUUGAGGACUGGAGAGGAGACUGGAAUUCAUGGUGUAGCAGUGAAAUGCGUAGAGAUCAUGAGGAAGACCAGUGGCGAAGGCAGGUCUCUGGGCCACUACUGACGCUGAGAAGCGAAAGCAUGGGGAGCGAACAGG
rnacentral:rRNA from 1 species